GUGCAUGUGAUGAAGCAAAUCAGUAUGAAUAAAGUCGUGAUACUGUAAACGCUUUCUGAUGUA
ensembl:snoRNA